GCUUGUCUCAAAGAUUAAGCCAUGCAUGUCUAAGUAUAACUCUUUUACUUUGAAAACUGCGAACGGCUCAUUAUAUCAGUUAUAGUUUCUUUGAUAGUCCCUUACUACUUGGAUACCCGUAGUAAUUCUAGAGCUAAUACAUGCUGAAAACCCCAACUUCGGGAGGGGUGUAUUUAUUAGAUAAAAAACCAACGCCCUUCGGGGCUUCUUGGUGAUUCAUGAUAACUUCACGGAUCGCAUGGCCUUGCGCCGGCGACGGUUCAUUCAAAUUUCUGCCCUAUCAACUUUCGAUGGUAAGGUAUUGGCUUACCAUGGUUUCAACGGGUAACGGGGAAUUAGGGUUCGAUUCCGGAGAGGGAGCCUGAGAAACGGCUACCACAUCCAAGGAAGGCAGCAGG
rnacentral:rRNA from 1 species